rnacentral:rRNA from 1 species
GUGAGGAAUAUUGGUCAAUGGGCGCAAGCCUGAACCAGCCAUCCCGCGUGCAGGAAGACGGCGCUAUGCGUUGUAAACUGCUUUUCCAGGGGGAGAAACUUGCGCACGUGUUGCGCAAUUGACGGUACUCUGGGAAUAAGCAUCGGCUAACUCCGUGCCAGCAGCCGCGGUAAUACGGAGGAUGCGAGCGUUAUCCGGAUUCAUUGGGUUUAAAGGGUGCGUAGGCGGACUAUUAAGUCAGUGGUGAAAUCCUGCAGCUUAACUGCAGAACUGCCAUUGAUACUGAUAGCCUUGAGUUUGGUUAAGGUAGGCGGAAUGUGUAAUGUAGCGGUGAAAUGCUUAGAUAUUACACAGAACACCAAGUGCGUAGGCAGCUUACUGAGCCGACACUGACGCUGAGGCACGAAAGCGUGGGGAUCGAACAGGAUUAGAAACCCUUGUAGUCC